rnacentral:rRNA from 1 species
AUGCAGUUACAGCUCGAGGAUGAAAGGAUAAGAAAGAAGAAGUGUGAUUUCCCAAGGAGAAAGGAGUUUGAACGGCGUCAAAAGGCUGCCUGUGUUCAACGAAGUGAUCGGGAUGUUGCUCAAGCUCCUGAAGGUGUAGGUGAUGAAGGUGGUGACGCGGCCUUUUCAACUGUUGAUGCUGGAUCUCAUGGAAGUGACAUGCCUGUGAAGACAAACCUGAUGCAAACUCGUUUGACGCAAGUGUUUACUCGUGAUGCAGUUAAGGAGAAGAAAGCUGUUUUGAAGAGGAAGAUGUCAGAUCGAAAUCCUGAUGGCACACAGAGGCGUAGCCCACAUGUGAAAGCUGGUUCCCAACCUGGUAAUAGCAAAGUUGAUGGGGAUAGUGUUGCUGUGAAGAUUGGUCCAAGCAAACUUGGUGGCUCCCCUGUUCGUCGUAGUCCACGGGUUUGGACAAAUAAGAAGCCUUCUUUGCCUCCUCUUCGAGAGCGCUCUUUGUUGAAAGAAAAUAAUAAGCGUAAAGUUCAUCAUGCGAAGGUGAACAAAGGUGUGAAGAAGCGUGCUCGUGUCGAAGCUGAAGAUGUUGUAUCUGAAGAAGAUGAUAUCAAAGUUGAUUUUGAAGAUGAAUUUGCAGUGCCUGUUAGCGUUAUGAGUCCGGUGAAGCUGGUGGGACGCAAUGCCGGAAAAGUUGCCUUGGAGGAAGGUGACCAAUGGAAAUUGAACUUAACUGUGCGAUGUUCGUUGGGAGAGGUUGAAGCUUGUGCUAAAUUGCUUGAGAGUCGGGUGAAGUCUAACAUUUCCUGCCCUCUGAUGGGAGUUUUGUACCUGAGGAUAGAUCCUGAUACUGACUCUUGA